rnacentral:lncRNA from 1 species
CUUACGUACUAUAGCAAACUUGGUAAGGCCGCUACUUGCCCCUCCAAAUGAAAUAACCCUGUUUGGAGUAGUGGUUAGUGCGUCAGACUGGAACAUAAGAUCACAGGUUCAAAACACAGCCUGCCCAAUGCUAUAGUAUAUUUACAUGUGAUAUAUAAAUAUAUUUAUGUGGCCAAUUUCAAACAUUGACACAUAUUUACCAAAUGUAAUCAGGAAUAUAUUUUCUAAAUGUGUAUGGAAAUAUAGUUUCCAAAUGUUUUCAAAAUAUAUUUAAAAUAGAUGUUUGUUUUUUCAUGUUUAUGCCUACUACUGUCCAUUUCCUCCCACCAUGACAAUCCUGGAAUUCAAAUGUAAACAUUUUCGAAGCAGGUCUAGAUGCCAUGAAUUGACAAUGUGCAAGGAAAAUGUGUAAGGAAUUAUAUCUAGAUGUUUGAGUUGAAAAGGCCCUCCCUCCCCCACUGCUCACAAAAAUUAUUCACUCACAGACACCAUAGUGGGAAAUAUAAAGAAAUGUGUCCUCUAUCCUUUUCUAUGGCUACACUUGAGGAAGGGUCACUCCCCCUAUCCUGUCCAUGGGGGCAGGAAGUUCAAAGUCUUCAGUGGUACAGUGUAGAGCUUCUGUGAACUUAGGUUGGCAAAAUGGGUUAUGUGGAAGCACUGCUCCAACAGAAUCCAAUUGAGGUUACCUUUCUGGGGGCUAUGCUGUUUUUGCUGGUCCUCUACCUUUUCUAUUCUGGUUCCUGGUUUGAAGUGAGGAGGGCAGAGCCUCCAGGACCCAGGCCGCUGCCCCUACUUGGUAAUAUUCACCAGAUGGAUCUCAAGAAGCCCCACCACACUCUCUGUGAGUUAACGGGGUGACAGAGAACACCGGUCCGUGUGUGGAGUGGCCAAUCGUUAUUCUGCCCUAAACAGCAGCACUGCCGGCCAGGAUCAAGCAAUCCAGCCACACUCCAAUGUUGACCUGACCUGGCAUGAAUCAAGGUAUGUGACUAGGAUAGCUAACGACCAAGAAACCCAGAAUCUGGGACGUAGCUAGGCAUAUUUUAGUAUACAAUAUUAAUUGAAUACUCCGUUCUGUAAACAGUACCUAACCCCUCCAUACUAUCGGUUUCUAGUGGUCGGAGAACUAAAUCCUCUCAAGUUCAAAAUGUAAAUGCACUGGAAAACAAUGGUACGUUUAGGUAAUAAAUAUACUCUUUCAGCUAGCCAUGUUUUUGAGAUUUUAAAAGUGUAAUGUAUUGAAUAUAUACUUUCAGCUAGCCAUGUUUUUGAGAUUUUAAAAAUGUAAUGUAUGGAAAUUGUUUCAGACAAGUUGCAAUUCGUGAAAUUCGACAUACUGGCGCGAUAUCACUGAAAUAUACAUGUAUAAGGUAAUAUAGUUAACAAUGUAUUCUGUACAGUUUAUGUUUAAUGUCCGUUCCAAUGUUAUUCUUGUCUGUUAUUUUUCACACACUCGAUUUUUAACUAUAUUCAAUGAUGGCUUAUAUUGUGAUAAAGAAAAUCUGAGUGCUGCCAGCAUAAUAUCCUGCUGCUAAAAUAACGCUAAUGAAGCCUUGAAUGGCCAUCACUAAUUGUAACAGUUAGAGUUAAGGAUUCAAGCAAGGCCAGCUGGCUUGAGGCUAUAAUGGCUUACUAGCUUGUUAACAUGUGCAGGACUCCAUUCAUUCAAACUGCAAAGCAGGCUAGAUUUAUUUGUAAAUUAAAAAAAAAAAAAAAAGAAAAAUGUGACCAUGCUGAGGACAGAGAGAACAGACCCAUAUGCAAAAUAAAUAUGUAUUUAUGUAUGUAGAAUAUAUGUUGAAUACAUUUAACUUAAUUCAAAUUACAUUUCAGGUAUCAAAAUAUUUCAGCUUUUAUUCCGAAAUGUACACUCACCUAAAGGAUUAUUAGGAACACCUGUUCAAUUUCUCAUUAAUGCAAUUAUCUGAAAUGUAAUUUGACCCCACCGGGUACCACUCAUCUCCACUACAAAUAGGAAAAAGAGGCUACAAUUUGAACAAGCUCACCAAAAUUGGACAGUUGAAGACUGGAAGAAUGUUGCAUUGUCUGCUGAGUCUCGAUUUCUGAGACAUUCAGAUGGUAGAGUCAGAAUUU